AGAGUUUGAUCAUGGCUCAGGAUGAACGCUGGCGGCGUGCCUAAUACAUGCAAGUCGAGCGAACGUCAUAGAAGCUUGCUUCUAUGACGUUAGCGGCGGACGGGUGAGUAACACGUGGGCAACCUGCCUGUAAGACUGGGAUAACUUCGGGAAACCGAAGCUAAUACCGGAUAGGAUCUUCUCCUUCAUGGGAGAUGAUUGAAAGAUGGUUUCGGCUAUCACUUACAGAUGGGCCCGCGGUGCAUUAGCUAGUUGGUGAGGUAACGGCUCACCAAGGCAACGAUGCAUAGCCGACCUGAGAGGGUGAUCGGCCACACUGGGACUGAGACACGGCCCAGACUCCUACGGGAGGCAGCAGUAGGGAAUCUUCCGCAAUGGACGAAAGUCUGACGGAGCAACGCCGCGUGAGUGAUGAAGGCUUUCGGGUCGUAAAACUCUGUUGUUAGGGAAGAACAAGUAUGAGAGUAACUGCUCGUACCUUGACGGUACCUAACCAGAAAGCCACGGCUAACUACGUGCCAGCAGCCGCGGUAAUACGUAGGUGGCAAGCGUUAUCCGGAAUUAUUGGGCGUAAAGCGCGCGCAGGCGGUUUCUUAAGUCU
rnacentral:rRNA from 1 species